GAAGGAAAGAGGGAACAUGCCACUCUUCUGACCUUUUCCUGUCUGAUGACCAGAUGACAGAGGGUGUGCAGGGAACACCAGAAUUUUAAGUUAAGCAGGGGAAUGUCUGAAGUAAGAAGAGCUCCUCCUUGAAGAGACUGCAAAGCCAUUUAAAGGAGGCCAUAUGGAAAAAUGUGGAGCAGAUCAAAGGCUGAGAUUUUAUGGUGACAACAAGGGACAGCAAAUGAAAAAAAGUUGGAGAUCAUGGAAGAAGAAUAAACAGUGUAAAGAAUAUGAAGAAUAUGAAACAAAACCUAACUCUUACAUUAUAAUUUCCGAGACCAAUAUGCUAAACUACAUUCCAUGAAAAAUACCAAAAGAACCAUUUUCUUAUCGUACAUUCUGCUGAAUGAAAAGGAAUGUUCUCUAUGUUCUCUUUUCCCCAUUUUUGACAAAUUCUAGAAAAAGCCACAAUAAUUUUAGACUCCAUUUAUCACAUAAGCGUAUUUAUAAUGAAUAAUCUCAGCUGAUGGCCAGCUGACAGGUAAGGCAUGCAUCUCUUCUCCCCACUCAUUUACUCUCAACCUCAUUUUCCUCUCCUUCUCUUGUUGUGAUGUUGGACAUGCAGGAGAAGUAAUGGGAGGCUGUGGAGGACAUAAGCAGUGCUCCCUGACUUCUGCCCCUAUGGGUUAUGGAUUUAUGUUAAUAAGAAAAAAUUAUGAAGAAGAUCCCACCAGUGGCUUCCAGAAAGAAAUGCAAACUGGUUGAGAUCCUCCCCACAAGGACAGCCAGAUGCUGAGAGCUGUGCAAACAGCUGUGCUCUCUAUCCCUGGAGCUUGGCAAGCCCCAGCUGAACACAGCCCUGAGAAAUCUGAUCCCAUCUCCUGGGUGACCCUGCCUGAAGCAAGAGGUUGGACUGCAAGCCUUCAGAGGUCCCUGCCAGCCAGAAUAACCCAUGAUUUCAGGACACACAUUUUUUAAUGUUUUUUCUAUACCUGUAGAAUAAAUUACACUCAUUCAAAAACUCCAGCUUCCAAGGAAAGCCCAAGUGCUUCCACGAAGAUUUGUACAUGCUCAUGAAUUUAAAAACCAGGACUUUAUUCUGCUGCCCACCUACGGAUAAUGGUGGAGGAACACCAGACAUCUUUCAUGGCCUAGCAACUGAGCUGAAACCUGCCUGUUUUUCCAGGUCCCCACUGUUUUGCCUGCCUGCUUUGUUUUCACUGGAAUUAUGAGGAGAAGCCACACAGAGAUGGGGGCUGUGGAACUCUCAUUUGGAAGCACCCUUCAGUUGUGUUGCUCCAUUCUGCAGCCCUGCCUCCUCCCAUCACCUCUGCAGCCCCACAGAACCAUCACAUCCCCCUGGAUGCUGAGGGGCAAAGCUGCUACCAAAACCUCCUCCUCCUUGCUGUGUGUAUCCACAAUGCCACCACUCCUCCCUAAUCCUGGGGGAAUAUGAGGGUUUGGCCAGGUGCUCUUUCUUGUCCCAGGCAUGAGCAGCAGCCCUGGAAGAUGAGGUUUUCACAACACACAGCUUCUAUUUUUGCCAUCCUGAUAAAAACACAGCAAUGCCAAUAUUUUUUUCUUGUGAUUUGGUGAUUGUGAAUGACCUGCAUGUCAGCUGACACAGUUAAAUAAGAAAUCAGCACUCAAGUCUCUUUGGAAGACAGAAGCACAGACACGGAGCACAAGUAAAAUUAUAAGACAAUCCACAUGAUACUCCAUUAAACAUGAAACAUGUGACUGACUGAAAAACAGAGACAUAUCAGCAUUUUCCCUGAGGAACUUUAUGGUAUUUAGCUCCUAAACAUUAAUUUUAUUGUAUUAUGUGAGGAACCAAUUAACUGAGAGUUUCACUUUUAUCAGACAUGAGAAUUAUUGUUCAGAACAUAGAUGAAUGGUAAAUUCAGCAUAUUUCAGUUUUAUUAGGCUUGACUUGCUCAUCUCUCAUAUUCUGCCAAUUUUAAGAGGUAAUCAGAUAUUUCAUCAAUACAUUUCUGUGAAUUAUUUAGAACACUUCCAGCAGCAACAAGCUGAUAUGUAAGACAUAUAAAAUGUACCUAUUGUAUAUUGAG